rnacentral:rRNA from 1 species
UACAGAGGGUGCAAGCGUUUAAUCGGAAUUACUGGGCGUAAAGCGUGCGUAGUCGGUUAUUUAAGUCGGGUGUGAAAGCCCCGGGCUCAACCUGGGAAUUGCAUUCGAUACUGGAUAGCUAGAGUUCGGCAGAGGGAAGCGGAAUUUCCGGUGUAGCGGUGAAAUGCGUAGAUAUCGGAAGGAACAUCAGUGGCGAAAGCGGCUUCCUGGACCAGAACUGACGAUCAGGCACGAAAGCGUGGGGAGCAAACAGG